rnacentral:rRNA from 1 species
GACGAACGCUGGCGGCGUGCCUAAUACAUGCAAGUAGAACGCUGAAGGAGGAGCUUGCUUCUCUGGAUGAGUUGCGAACGGGUGAGUAACGCGUAGGUAACCUGCCUGGUAGCGGGGGAUAACUAUUGGAAACGAUAGCUAAUACCGCAUAAGAGUAGAUGUUGCAUGACAUUUGCUUAAAAGGUGCAAUUGCAUCACUACCAGAUGGACCUGCGUUGUAUUAGCUAGUUGGUGGGGUAACGGCUCACCAAGGCGACGAUACAUAGCCGACCUGAGAGGGUGAUCGGCCACACUGGGACUGAGACACGGCCCAGACUCCUACGGGAGGCAGCAGUAGGGAAUCUUCGGCAAUGGACGGAAGUCUGACCGAGCAACGCCGCGUGAGUGAAGAAGGUUUUCGGAUCGUGAAGCUCUGUUGUAAGAGAAGAACGAGUGUGAGAGUGGAAAGUUCACACUGUGACGGUAUCUGACCAGAAAGGGACGGCUAACUACGUG